rnacentral:rRNA from 1 species
AGAGUUUGAUCCUGGCUCAGAAUCAACGCUGGCGACGCGCUUAACACAUGCAAGUCGAGCGAGAAAGGGGAGCAAUCCCUGAGUACAGCGGCGUACGGGUGAGUAACACGUGGGUGAUCUACCUCUUUGUGGGGAAUAACCCUGGGAAACCGGGGCUAAUACCGCAUAAGCCUGAGAAGGGAAAGCGAGCAAUCGCGCAGAGAGAGGAGCCCGCGGCCGAUUAGCUAGUUGGUGAGGUAACGGCUCACCAAGGCGACGAUCGGUAGCCGGCCUGAGAGGGCACACGGCCACACUGGCACUGAAACACGGGCCAGACUCCUACGGGAGGCAGCAGUGGGGAAUCUUGCACAAUGGAGGCAACUCUGAUGCAGCGACGCCGCGUGAGCGAUGAAGCCCCUCGGGGUGUAAAGCUCUUUCGGCAGGAACGAUCAUGACGGUACCUGAAGAAGAAGCUGCGGCUAACUACGUGCCAGCAGCCGCGGUAAUACGUAGGCAGCGAGCGUUGUUCGGAAUUACUGGGCGUAAAGAGUGUGUAGGCGGUGCUCUAAGUUCGGUGUGAAAUCUCCUGGCUUAACUGGGAGGGUGCGCCGGAAACUGGAAUGCUCGAGCGUGGGAGAGGAAAGCGGAAUUCCUGGUGUAGCGGUGAAAUGCGUAGAUAUCAGGAGGAACACCUGUGGUGUAGACGGCUUUCUGGACCAUAGCUGACGCUGAGACACGAAAGCGUGGGUAGCAAACAGGAUUAGAUACCCCCGUAGUCC